AACGAACGCUGGCGGCAGGCCUAACACAUGCAAGUCGAGCGCGCCCUUCGGGGUGAGCGGCGGACGGGUGAGUAACGCGUGGGAACGUACCCUUUGCUACGGAAUAGCCUCGGGAAACUGAGAGUAAUACCGUAUACGCCCUUUGGGGGAAAGAUUUAUCGGCAAAGGAUCGGCCCGCGUUGGAUUAGGUAGUUGGUGGGGUAAUGGCCCACCAAGCCGACGAUCCAUAGCUGGUUUGAGAGGAUGAUCAGCCACACUGGGACUGAGACACGGCCCAGACUCCUACGGGAGGCAGCAGUGGGGAAUCUUAGACAAUGGGGGCAACCCUGAUCUAGCCAUGCCGCGUGAGUGAUGAAGGCCUUAGGGUUGUAAAGCGCUUUCAGCUGGGAAGAUAAUGACGGUACCAGCAGAAGAAGCCCCGGCUAACUCCGUG
rnacentral:rRNA from 1 species